rnacentral:rRNA from 1 species
AUUGAACGCUGGCGGCAGGCCUAAUACAUGCAAGUCGAGCGUGCGGCGGACGGGUGCGUAAUGUUUGGGAAACUGCCUGAUGGCUAGGCAUCACUACGGGAUAAGGUAUCUAAUACCGCACACAAGCAGCUGUGCGCAGAUGGGAUUAGCUAGUAGGUGGGGUAACGGCUCACCUAGGCGACGAUCCCUAGCUGGUCUGAGAGGUUGACCAGCCACACUGGAACUGAGACACGGUCCAGACUCCUACGGGAGGCAGCAGUGGGGAAUAUUGGACAAUGGGCGAAAGCCUGAUGCAGCCAUGCCGCGUGUGUGAAGAAGGUCUUCGGGUUGUAAAGCACUUUCAUCGGGGAGGCGUUACCCACAGAAGAAGCACCGGCUAACUACGUGCCAGCAGCCGCGGUAAUAC